rnacentral:rRNA from 1 species
CCUACGGGUGGCAGCAGUGGGGAAUAUUGCACAAUGGGCGCAAGCCUGAUGCAGCCAGGCCGCGUGUGUGAAGAAGGCCUUUGGGUUGUAAAGCACUUUCAGCGGGGAGGAAGGCGGUGAGGUUAAUAACCUCAUCGAUUGACGUUACCCGCAGAAGAAGCACCGGCUAACUCCGUGCCAGCAGCCGCGGUAAUACGGAGGGUGCAAGCGUUAAUCGGAAUUACUGGGCGUAAAGCGCACGCAGGCGGUCUGUCAAGUCGGAUGUGAAAUCCCCGGGCUCAACCUGGGAACUGCAUUCGAAACUGGCAGGCUAGAGUCUUGUAGAGGGGGGUAGAAUUCCAGGUGUAGCGGUGAAAUGCGUAGAGAUCUGGAGGAAUACCGGUGGCGAAGGCGGCCCCCUGGACAAAGACUGACGCUCAGGUGCGAAAGCGUGGGGAGCAAACAGGAUUAGAUACCCGUGUAGUC